rnacentral:rRNA from 1 species
GUGUCAGCAGCCGCGGUAAUACGAAGGGGGCUAGCGUUGUUCGGAAUUACUGGGCGUAAAGCGAGCGUAGGUUGCUCGGAAAGUCAGUGGUGAAAUCCCAGAGCUUAACUCUGGAACUGCCAUUGAAACUUCCGAGCUGGAAUCUCAGAGGGGAUAGCGGAAUUCCAAAUGUAGGGGUGAAAUCCGUAGAUAUUUGGAGGAACACCGGUGGCGAAGGCGGCUAUCUGGAUGAGUAUUGACACUGAGGCUCGAAAGCGUGGGGAUCAAACAGGAUUAGAAACCCGUGUAGUCC